UACAGAGGUGGCAAGCGUUGUUCGGAAUUACUGGGCGUAAAGGGCGCGUAGGCGGCCAUCUAAGUCAGACGUGAAAUCCCCCGGCUUAACCUGGGAACUGCGUCUGAUACUGGACGGCUUGAGUAUGGGAGAGGGAUGUAGAAUUCCAGGUGUAGCGGUGAAAUGCGUAGAUAUCUGGAGGAAUACCGGUGGCGAAGGCGGCAUCCUGGACCAUUACUGACGCUGAGACGCGAAAGCGUGGGGAGCGAACAGG
rnacentral:rRNA from 1 species